AAAAAUUUGGAUUAGGCUCUGUAUUUUGCAGGAAGUUAGCAACAGCCAACAGGAAGCCGAAUAAUAAGAACAGUUUGAGGUGCAGAAACUGGCAAAGACCCGCGAGUCCAAAAUAGUAUUGUACUCUUUGUACGACUCCUUUAAAAGGAGGACUGCUUCAUCUGCUAGCUGUUUAUAGAGAAAUUUCAAAGACAAAUAUGUCUUCAGUUGUAGAUCUCAAGACCAAGGAGGAAAAAGAUGCAGAGCUGGACAGGCGAAUAGAAGCUUUGAGAAAGAAAAAUGAGGCUCUGGUCAAAAGAUACCAGGAAAUCGAAGAGGACAAGAAGAAAGCAGAGCAGGAGGGUAUCGCUGUGACCACACCACGGAAACCACGUCCACAUGAGCCAGAGACGGACAGGAGGAAGACGGAGAAGGAAAACUUCACCGUUACAGUUGAUCUGUCCAAACCGGCAGGGGAGAAGAGAGUUGUGAAUGAUUGGAAAUCUGGACCCCCUCGUGGUUCCAGAAGCUCUGAGGAUAGUGAUGGCCAGAAAGGGCAAAACGAUGGUCACAGUCCCCCCAGAAGGACAGGAUCAGGUAGACUCGGUAGAGGGGGACAGAGAGGAGGAGGAAGAGGAGGUGGAGGCGGAGGUCGCCAAGAAAGGAGAGAGGGUGAAGUGAGGACUCCCAGAAGUGGAGAAUUUGUAGAAUCAGCAGAACAGAGACGCAGAGGAGGAAGGAGAGGGAGAGGAGGUGGAGGUGGAGGUGGAGGCGGAGGCGGAGGUGGAGGCGGAGGUGGAGGCGGAGAAGGAGCAACACCAGGUGGCAUCGACAGAAAAUCCAAGGAGUGGGAAGAGAAGAGGAGACAGAACAUAGAGAAGAUGAAUGAAGAAAUGGAGAGAAUAGCCGAGUACGAGAGAGGACAGCGGGUGGAUGGUGAUAAACCCAUACGCAACUUCCUGGAUGAUCCAAGACGCUCUGGUCCAGCACCUGACCUAGAUCGAAAGGACGGCAGCAGGAGACAUGUGCGGAACUGGGGAGGACUCGACUUUGACAACGUUAAGACAGGAGCUGAACUGGAGAAAGAGUGGACUAGUCGAAGGCCAGGACCCAAAGGUUCUGUGGACAUGACGAUGUCAAUGACCGGCCGGGAGAGAGCAGAGUACCUGCGCUGGAAGAAGGAACGUGAACAGAUUGAUGAGGAAAGACUAGCUCGCCAUCGUAAUGCAACAGGCCAAUGGAGACGGGAGUGGGACGCCCAAAAGACGGACAACAUGUUCAAAGAGGACCCAAAUGUGGCUACGGAGGGCGUCACAUCUGAGCCAGGCAGCAAGAGAGAUGACAGUAAGCGGCCACCUAAGGUACCCACAUUUGGUGACUUCCUGUCACAGGGCAGGACGCCGGGCGGUCGAGGGGACAGGAGCAGAGGGAAGGGCCGAGGACAGAAGCCGAGCUACAGCAUGCAUGACAACCGCUGGGAAGGAGACAAAGAAGAGGAGAAGGAGAAAGAAAAGGAGGACAAGCCAAAGAGAGAGGAGAAGACAAAACCCGCUAAAAAGGAAGAAAAACCCAAAUCCCCUACGACCCAGCAGGUGGAGGUGAGUAACAAAGAUGGAGAGGAGGAUGAAGAGGACUGGGAGGACGCUACCAGUGAUGAAGAUGAAGAAAUAGAGAGCGACUCGGAACACGGUUCUGAGAAGAAAGACACGGUGAAAGAAAAAACAACCAAGAGCAAAGACCACUCCCCAGUGUCUCCAACGUCUCGCUCUGGACCGUCCUCUUCACCCAGCCCCAAAGAGCAGCGGACUCCCAGGCCCAAGGUCUACAUCCCUCCUCCAUCUAUGGCUCAGGACUCAACUGAGGGAGGAAAACCGCUCAGCCCCUUCUCACCACUGGACGGCCACAGGCCGGUGACAGACUGGGGGGAGGAGAUGGAGAUGGUGUCGCCACGGAGCAGCAUGGGAGGUGAAAGUCCCCUGAAGCCCUCCAGCACGGAAUCUAGUCCACCCCAGAAGAAGAACCAAGAGGAGGAGCACAAGGAGGAGGAGAAGAAGGAGGAGAAGAAGGAGGAGGAGAGGGAGACAAAGAGCCACACUUUUGUAUCCACUGAAACUACUGAACCAAAACUGGAAGACAAAACUGCCACAGAGGUUUCUUCUCCUUCUGAAACGGUUGAGCCAGAACCAGCGUCUCUGCCCCCUGACACUGUGGCUGUCGUGUCAACUGAUGCCGUACCCUCUGAUAUUUCUGUACAAGAUGCCCCCGUCAUCAGUGAUGCUCCUGUGUCAGAGAACCAGGAAACACCUGCUCCUCCCUUGAAAAUAGAUGAACCAGAAACAGCUCCCUCUGCUGCCGACCAGGAAACUGAGCAAGGCACACCUCCGGCUUCACAUCAAGCAGUGGGUAAAGAUGAGGAGACGGUGCCUGCUGAGACCGACGCUGACCCGACAGCAGCAGCUGAGUCCUCUGACCACACGUCCUCAGCAGCAGAGAAGCUGAAUGGGCAUUCCAGAGUCUCCUGAAGACUCCCCCUCAGGGCCCUGAGCUCCAGAUUGUGCACACGUGUCUGCUUCCAUGAUUUCCUUUGGUGGAAAAAGACUGAAGCUGCGGAAGUCAAACACUCUGCUCCGUCUGAGCCUAAUGCAGAGAUGAGAGGAACGGGGGAAACGUUUGAGCAGCGCCACCAUCCUCUUCACGGAGCGGCUGUCACACAUGUAAAUACAUUUGAAGGUCAUUGAAGAGGGACGUCUGUCAGAUCUUUAUACCAGUGGAGUCUGAUCACCAAAACUAUUGAUUAUUACCAAUAUAUCCAAAUAGACAUAUCACAGUGUUGUGAAACAGUGUUUUUUUGCAUAAGUUAAAACUCUGUCCUUUGGCACAAAAUUAUACAAAACCAAAAGUACAGUGUUGGUCUGACUAUAUCCAGACUUUUCACAACACACAACAGUGGCAACCAGUCAGUUGUUGAUCACAUCAACUCUGAAGUUUUGUUGCCGUCCAAUUGCAAAUGUCAGGGAACAAGGUGUCGGCUCUCGCUUAGUCUACAGACCCAGGAUUCACUUCAGAAAUAUAAAUUAAUUUGCCACAAAGACGGUAAAAAUGAAUGCUGAGCCAACGCUAGAGCAGGGGUCAGUCAUAUUCAGGCCGAGGUGUUAGAUGGAGCAGGGUCUCCCCAAAAUGUAUGUUUUAUAAUGUUGGGUUGAACAUUGAACUGGGCCUCGUGUCAUGUAGAAAUGUACCUUAUUAUUUUUAUUUCAAUGCUAAACUACACAACAGAUACACAGAUACAGGUAGUGAUGUUGUUGGGGGUGGGUGGGCCGGGGUGUUACGUCCUUUUGAAGACAACUGCUCUACAAGUAAACACACCUUUAAAUCAUAAGUAGCAUAAUUACUAAGUCCUAAAUUUUUGGUGCACUCAGAGAAUAUGUCGUGUCAUUUAAUCUCCUCAGUGACUCAGUCAUAACGUGGGAUUAUUGUGUCUCCAGACAGAUUAAAAAUGUUGUUUAGUCUGUGCUGCAGUCCAAACAUUGAAACACCUGACAUCACCGCUGUUCUGAACACACACUAAAUGUGUCAUCCUCUGUUUCUGAGCAGGUCGACCCGUGACUGUGAUGUCAUUUGUGAACAGAGCGGUCAUAAAAGCUUCAGUCUCUCUGACCUUUGGUCUUUCAGCUUUAAGUCCUGUGUGACUCUUCUAUCUCAGUUGUUUUGUAUGGCAGUAUUAGUCUGCGGGCUCCACUCUGCAGCCUGUUCAACCCUUGGGUUUUUAUGUAUCGAAAUCCCUUUGAUAUAGACCUCUUUUAAACACUUAAUGUUUUAUUGUUCGCAGAGCUUUAUUUUAAAUUUAGUUGAAGCUUUAAGUGUCAUUUAAAGCCAUUUACGUUAGAUUCACAUUUUACUCAGACAGAACAAUCUGUGACCUCUUUAAAACCUCCUGCUCAGACACCGGCUCUGAGCAGUCGGACCGUUUGUUAUUGCAAUCCAGUGUCGCAGAAAAUAUAAUAUUUUCCGUUGAUGGAUUCUGAGCUGCAGUCCAUUUUUUUUCUCCGUCCCUUUCUUCUCAGAAAACACCGCCUGUCAAACAGACAGAUUGUUUUAUAAACACAGGGAAAAUAACUGUGACUGUGAUUGACUGGUGAUGAUGAAUCUGAGUGGGAACAACUGACCAAACACAACGGCAGUUACUGAAAGACCUCAAAUGACUCAACUUGGUGAUUAGUCAGUCAACUAAGACACAUCUCAUUGGUCAACACUGGACCAGGUAUUUAUGUAUGUUUGAAUUCGGCAGAUAUGUGUCACAGCAUCAAGAAACCCCAAGAGGUUCAUUUGAGAAGUGCAGAUUAAUUCAACACACAAACACAUAGACCCUUCAGCCUGUUCCUUGAAUGCUGAUUUUUGACCCACAUGUUGUCAUCGAUAUGUUUAGAUUUUUGAUUUCUCAAUCUCCGCUCACAAAAGGCUUUCGUUUGUUUUGGUUCUUUGAGUCCGCUGUUCAGUUACCAGACGCUUCAGUGGUUUCUUUGUUGCAUGAAGUCUGAUGUAAAUUACAGGGAAUGCCUUCGAUGUAAGAGGAAUCUGCAAUAUGUACAGUUCUGGAAGAAAACAUUCCACAGUUGUGUCCCUGUGCAGAAUGUAGCCUUUGAGCUAUGAGAGAAAAAAAACAGUUUUCCACAUGAAUGUUUGGAUGACAGAGUGUAUUUAAAGGUAGUUAUUUCAUUGUACUUUACUUUCUACAAUGUUCUUCAGGAAGUUGCUGCCAUGAUUUGCUCUUCUUGUUGUGCAGCUGUGUUCAUGGAAUGAUCAGGACAAGCAUGAAUCCUCAACCGUAGCUUUUUACAGAGAUGUCUGUCGGAUGGAAUCACCGUCAGCUGUAAAGCCCGUCGGUGCUUUGUUGUUUGUUUUUCUUAAAUUAGUCAAUAAAUAUGUUUCUCUGAUGGUU